ACAAUGAAGAGUUUGAUCCUGGCUCAGGAUGAACGCUAGCUACAGGCUUAACACAUGCAAGUCGAGGGGCAUCGGGAAGAAAGCUUGCUUUCUUUGCCGGCGACC
rnacentral:rRNA from 1 species